AUAGCGCCCGUGUAGCACAUUAGAAACCCUAGCUGCCGGAACAUACUCCUGUCAUCUCCCCCUCUCAACUCGACCAACCAUCCGAAAUACCACACCGAUGUUGACAUCAUUUCCGGCGAAUCGUUCUGGAAAACACGACUCUCCUCCGCAUGCGAUAACGUUAGUUUAAGGUUUCUACUUGACAAGUCCUUAUUCAGAAGAAUCUUCUGGAUCAACACUAAGUAGCUAAAAAAGCUUAUGGGUAACGGCUGCGUAUGAAGAUUACACUGGGGAUUUACAUAUUCAAGGACACAUUGAGGGAUGGUCAUAGAUGGGUUGGAGGUUGCUAAAGUAAUUCCAAUUGACCAUCCAAGAAUAAGACUAAGCUCAUGCACUGUCUGCAAAGUGGUUGUGGCACUUUGUGUUGCUCACCUACAAAUGCUUCAGCCGUUGAGUUGGAUGCACAGGCAAGAGCCGUGUAAGGAACAUUAUAUCUUAGAAGAUUAUACUGGGGAUUUCCAUAUUCAAACACACAUAGUGGCCGAGAUGGUUUGCUUAGCUCAUCGAAGAGACGGGGUUCUGGUCCGCAGUAAACUGUUUCCCGAGCUAGUAAGUAAAAGUCAGGUAGACCAGCUUCGGUCGUAAACUCAAAACUAGGGUCAAAAUUAGCUAGCAAGUAAAACUCAGGUAGACCAGCUUCGGAAAUAUAUAAUUGCUUACUUGCUAACACGAGGCGGACUUCCGUAAAGAUUACUGACAGCAAUGCGAUUGAACUCAUUCACUGUCUGCAAAGUGAUUGUAGCGUCUUUUGUAGCUCACCCACAAAUGUUGCACGCGUUGAUUUGGAUGCUCAGGUAGCUUAAGAGAUUCUAUAUUGCUAUGGCAAAACACAAUGUUACGAAGUGGUCAACUCACUGGAAGGAGUGAGUCAAUGGGGGGAGAGACGGUUUGUUCAACAAGCUUGAACAAUCUUCCUUCUCGUAAUUGUCUUGCUACAAAUGCAACCAUGUUGAUUGAGGCCCGAUACUACGGUUUUUGUAUGGAGUCAGAUGCAACCAACUCUGCAAAGAAGCCGAGAGGAAAGACAUGGUGAAUUGGUACAGGUGUGAUUGUCUGGGGCCCAUUUUUCCAUCUCGAUACCAUUGUGUCAAAUGCCAUGAAACAUUCUUCACGAGUGUUGAAUUUGAACACCACAAGAAUUCUACUUGUAAAAUCAAACAUGAGGUUGGUAGCAGCUUUACUGUCACCGAGUCAUUGUCAGAGCCACUUUGGGGGAACACUCAUCAUAUGAUAAGGCGGCUGAUGAUGGACUUAUUGGAUAUGGAAGCUGCAUUACCUGAUGGAGCAAGAAGACGUUCAAUGGAAAGCCCCAAAUGGAGGUCUGCGUGGUGUGUGUUUGUUAAAUCUGCUACAAUAAUAUACGAGGUAUGAUGUGUUCUUGGUUAGAGGUAUAUUAGAUAAAUUACAUAAAUCG